rnacentral:rRNA from 1 species
CCUACGGGAGGCAGCAGUAGGGAAUAUUGCUCAAUGGGGGAAACCCUGAAGCAGCAACGCCGCGUGGAGGAUGAAGGUUUUCGGAUUGUAAACUCCUUUUGUUAGAGAAGAUAAUGACGGUAUCUAACGAAUAAGCACCGGCUAACUCCGUGCCAGCAGCCGCGGUAAUACGGAGGGUGCAAGCGUUACUCGGAAUCACUGGGCGUAAAGAGCGCGUAGGCGGGGUAGCAAGUCAGAAGUGAAAUCCUAUGGCUUAACCAUAGAACUGCAAUUGAAACUGUUAUUCUAGAGUAUGGGAGAGGUAGGUGGAAUUCUUGGUGUAGGGGUGAAAUGCGUAGAGAUCAAGAGGAAUACUCAUUGCGAAGGCGACCUGCUAGAACAUAACUGACGCUGAUGCGCGAAAGCGUGGGGAGCAAACAGGAUUAGAUACCCGGGUAGUC